rnacentral:rRNA from 1 species
CGUGUAGGCGGUCCGGUAAGUCAGAUGUGAAAGCCCUGGGCUCAACCCAGGAAGUGCAUUUGAAACUACCAGACUUGAGUACGGGAGAGGAGGGGGGAAUUCCCGGUGUAGAGGUGAAAUUCGUAGAUAUCGGGAGGAAUACCAGUGGCGAAGGCGCCCCUCUGGACCGAUACUGACGCUGAGACGCGAAAGCGUGGGGAGCAAACA